rnacentral:snoRNA from 10 species
UACAGAAUGGAAAACGGGUCAAGCCAUUUAUUUUUAAAUAAUUUUGAUUUAGAGUCAACCAAUACCGUUGGGAGGAUUCUAUGCCACAGUCACUCUGUUAU